rnacentral:rRNA from 1 species
AUUGAACGCUGGCGGCAUGCCUUACACAUGCAAGUCGAACGGUAACAGGUCUUCGGAUGCUGACGAGUGGCGAACGGGUGAGUAAUACAUCGGAACGUGCCUAGUAGUGGGGGAUAACUACUCGAAAGAGUGGCUAAUACCGCAUGAGAUCUACGGAUGAAAGCAGGGGAUCGCAAGACCUUGUGCUACUAGAGCGGCCGAUGGCAGAUUAGGUAGUGGGUGGGAUAAAAGCUUACCAAGCCGACGAACUGUAGCUGGUGUGAGAGGACGAUCAGCCACACUGGGACGGGGACACGGCCCAGACGCCUGCGGGAGGCAGCAGUGGGGAAUUUUGGACAAUGGGCGCAAGCCUGAUCCAGCAAUGCCGCGUGCAGGAUGAAGGCCUUCGGGUUGUAAACUGCUUUAGUACGGAACGAAAAGCCCUGGGUUAAUACCCUGGGGUCAUGACGGUACCGUAAGAAUAAGCACCGGCUAACUACGUGCCAGCCGCCGCCGUAAUAC